rnacentral:lncRNA from 10 species
UAAAGACAGAGUCUCAUUCUGUCACCCAGGCUGGAGCCCAGUGGCAGGAUCUCAGCUCAGUGCAAUCUCCACCUCCUGGGUUCAAGCGAUUCUCAUGUCUCAGCCUCCUGAGUAGCUGGGAUUACAGGUGCCCACCAUCACGCCUGGCUAAUUUUUGUAUUUUUAGUAGACUGGGUUUUGUCACGUUGGCCAGGCUGGUCUCAAACUCCUGACCUCAGGUGAUCCGCCCACCUUGGCCUCCCAAAAUGCUGGGAUUACAGGUGUGAGCCACUGCGCCCGGCCUAUUGUGAUAUUUCUUUACUUAAUAACUAGCAGAUGAAUCUCUUAACAGUAUUCUGUUUUCCUCUAAGCAUGCAUAAAAAGUGGUCAAAUAAGUCCAUGAUGACUCAUCACCUUUUCCCUGCAAGGAGUGUACUGUAGAUUACCAAACCUGCAGAAGCCGUCUGUGUGGAGACAGGAGGAGGACA